ACGUAGGGUGCAAGCGUUAAUCGGAAUUACUGGGCGUAAAGCGUGCGCAGGCGGUUGUGCAAGACAGGUGUGAAAUCCCCGGGCUUAACCUGGGAACUGCACUUGUGACUGUACGGCUGGAGUACGGCAGAGGGGGAUGGAAUUCCGCGUGUAGCAGUGAAAUGCGUAGAUAUGCGGAGGAACACCGAUGGCGAAGGCAGUCCCCUGGGCCUGUACUGACGCUCAUGCACGAAAGCGUGGGGAGCAAACAG
rnacentral:rRNA from 1 species